ACUGGGAGCGUGGCGUCUCCUGUAACGUGGCUGCUCACGGGUCGGGUUACGGACUGAUUUGAGGUUGGGGUCCACUGUGUGCCGGGUAAGUCCAUGUUGACGGGACGUCCGCACUAAGCUGACCGUCAAUAUGGGUGCAAUGGGGGAGCCCGAUGCAUUCAGGUUGGCUAAAGAGAGAUGAACCGAGCGAGGGGUGAAAACCAGCAGCUAAAAGUCUCCGCGGUAAGCAGUAGUGGGAUCGCGUCCCGGAGUGGACUUCCGGUGCCAGCCUGACCAAUAUAGUCACACUGUAAUCUUUU
rnacentral:SRP_RNA from 1 species